AGGUGCCUCCGCCAGCUGCCCGGAUGUGCCUCCAUUCCAAGCUCCCGUCGGCAGCAGCAGCGUCUCUUCGUCACUGCGGUGGUAAAGUGUCAGUUAGCUCCUUCAGUCCUGACCCAGCAGAGUCUCUGUAUGUCUGGAUAAACCUCUGAAUGGACUUCUAGAGGUUCUCCUUUGGUUCUGGAUGUUGUUCCUCGGACUCAUCUCCCGCUACAAAGACAUUGAAGUUAGCUUAGCAUGCUAACAGCGCUAGUCCCAGUUUAAAGGAGAGGAACGGGCUUUGUGACGGACUUUGUGUGGAGAAAACGUUUCUGUCGUUGGGGGGAAAUGUCUAAAGUCCAAAUGCUGAGAUGUUUCGUCAACCAGCGACUCACUGCGGCUGCGCAGGAGAUAUGUGGGCUGUUUGAAAGAACGAUAGCAGAGUACGAGGAGGAACUUUGUAGUUCUCAAGAGGAGAACGAGCGACACCGGAAACGACUGCACGCCUUUCUAAAACCGGAAGUCCGGAAACAACGAGCAGACGAGCAGCUGUUGGUGGUGAAAGACGAGCAACAGGACUGGGACUCCAGUCUGGACCAGGAGGACCCAGAGCCCCCCCACAUUGAGGACCAGGAGGACCCAGAGCCCCCCCACAUUAAAGAGGAAGAGGAGGAACUGUGGACCAGUCAGGCGGGAGAGCAGCUCCAAGGUCUGGAGGAGGCUGGCAUCAUGUUCUCAUUCACGACUGUCUCUGUGAAGAGUGAAGAUGAUGAUGAAGAGGAAGCUACAUUCUCUCAGCUUUAUGGAAGACAAACUGAGGAGAACAGAGAGGCGGAGCAUUUGAAAACAGGAGGUGACGGAGAGGACUUGGGGAGAUCAGAACCAGAGACUGAUGACAGUAGAGAUUGGGAGGAGACUCAGGAUCCUCAGUCGGCUUUAAAUCGUCUGCGAACCAGAGACGGAGCUGAAGGCGACGUGAUGUGUAUCGGCUCGGCUUCAUGUGCGGGAAGCUUUGACCACAAGAGACUUCUGAAGAAACGAUCUCGGAUCCAAACGAGAGUGAAACCGUUCCACUGCUCGGUUUGUGGCAAACGGUUUGUAUUCCACAGCGCGCUUAAAAAACACGUCAUUGUCCACACGGGAGAGAAACCCUUCGGCUGUUCAAUUUGUAGCAAAACAUUCUCGCGAGAGCAACAUCUGAAACGCCACUUAACUGUCCACACGGGGGAGAAACCGUUCAGCUGUCUCAUGUGUAGUAAAACGUUUGCCCAGAAGGGGGAUCUGACCCGACACCUCACCGUCCACACGAGGCUGAAACCUUUCUGUUGUUCCAUUUGUGGCCAAACAUUUUCACGGAAAGGAAACCUGACGAAGCACAUGAAGCUCCACGCAAGGCAGGAGCUACUUGGUUGCAAAUAAAAUGUAAAUUUAGAUUCAAUCAUCUAAUUCAAUUCAUUUUGUAUUGCCCAAUAUCACACAUUUUGAAUAUGCCUCAGGGUUUAACAAUCUGUACACAUAGACAUCCCUAACCUUUGACCUCUGACCUCACAUCGGAUCAGGAACAACUGAGGAGGAUAUCUCCAGGAUGGACAGAUGAACAAUAGACAUCAUGUGACCCGAUGAACAAUAGAUGUCAUGUGACCCGAUGAACAAUAGAUGUCAUGUGACCCGAUGAACAAUAAAUGUCAUGUGACUAGAUGAACAAUAGAUGUCAUGUAACCCGAUGAACAAUAGAUGUCAUGUGACCCGAUGAACAAUAGAUUCAAUUCAAUUCAGUUUAUUUGUAUAGCCCAAUUUCACAAAUUACAAAUUUGUCUCGGAGUGCUUUACAAUCUGUACACAUAGACAUCCCUGCCCCAAAACCUCACAUCGGACCAGGAAAAACUCCCAAAUAACCCUUCAGGGGGGAAAAAAAUGGAAGAAACCUGCAGGAGAGCAACAGAGGAGGAUCCCUCUCCUAGGAUGGACAGAUGCAAUAGAUGUAAUGUGUACAGAAGGACAGAUUUAGAGUUAAAAUACAUUCAAUGAAUAUGACAGAGUGUAUGAAUAGUCCAUAGUAGGCAUAUUCCACGAUGGAGACCUCCACGAUCCAUCAGGCAGAUGGAGGAGUGGGCGGAGUCUCAACAGGACAGUGGCGUAGUCAUGAGCAGGAAUUCCACGACCCAGACGAUCCAUCAGGCAGAUAGGAUCUAUGCCGUCUCAUAGGGUCCGAUGACCCCAUGAGACGUAAAGUCAAAAGGACUUCCGGGGAGAAAGCAGAGUUAGUAACGUGUGAUUGAAAGAUGAAAAUUCAUCCUUAAGGAGAGAAAAAAGAGGAGAUAGGUACUCAGUGCAUCCUAAAACGUCCCCCGGCAGUUAUAAGCCUAUAGCAGCAUAUCAAGGGGCUGGACCAGGUGAACCUGAUUCAGCCCUAACUAUAAGCUCUGUCAAAGAGGAAGGCAGACACAGUCACCUCGUUUAAGAGUAGACUUAAGACCUUCCUCUUUGACAGAGCUUAUAGUUAGGGCUGAAUCAGGUUUGCCCUGGUCCAGCCCCUUGAUAUGCUGCUAUAGGCUUAUAGCUGCCGGGGGACGUUUUAGGAUGCACUGAGUACCUAUCUCCUCUUUUUUCUCCUUAGGGAUGAAUUUUCAUCUCUCAAUCACACGUUACUAACUCUGCUUUCUCCCCGGAAGUCCAUUUGACUUUACGUCUCAUGGGGUCAUCGGACCCUAUGAGACGGCAUAGAUCCUAUCUGCCUGAUGGAUCGUCUGGGUCGUGGAAUUCCUGCUCAUGACUACGCCACUGUCCUGUUGAGACUCCGCCCUCCUCCUCCCCACCGCCAUCUGCCUGAUGGAUCGUGGAGGUCUCCAUCGUGGAAUAUGCCUACUAUGAACUAUUCAUACACUCUGUCAUAUUCAUUGAAUGUAUUUUAACUCUAAAUCUGUCCUUCUGUACACAUUACAUCUAUUG